ACUUUUCUAGUAUAAAUAUUACAAAUGACUUCCAAUCAUAAAAUCUCGCUUCUUUGACGAGGAAAAGUA
rnacentral:tRNA from 1 species